rnacentral:rRNA from 1 species
UACGGGGGGAGCAAGCGUUAUUCGGAAUUACUGGGCGUAAAGGGCUCGUAGGCGGCCAACUAAGUCGGAUGUGAAAUCCCCAGGCUUAACCUGGGAACUGCAUCCGAUACUGGAUGGCUUGAAUCCGGGAGAGGGAUGCAGAAUUCCAGGUGUAGCGGUGAAAUGCGUAGAUAUCUGGAGGAAUACCGGUGGCGAAGGCGGCAUCCUGGACCGACAUUGACGCUGAGGAGCGAAAGCUAGGGGAGCAAACGGG